rnacentral:rRNA from 1 species
GACGAAACGCUGGCGGCGUGCCUAAUACAUGCAAGUUGAGCGCUGAAGGUUGGUACUUGUACCAACUGGAUGAGCAGCGAACGGGUGAGUAACGCGUGGGGAAUCUGCCUUUGAGCGGGGGACAACAUUUGGAAACGAAUGCUAAUACCGCAUAAAAAACUUUAAAACACAAGUUUUUAAGUUUGAAAGAUGCAAUUGCAUCACUCAAAAGAUGAUCCCGCGUUGUAUUAGCUAGUUGGUGAGGUAAAGGCUCACCAAAGCGAUGAUACAUAGCCGACCUGAGAGGGUGAUCGGCCACAUUGGGACUGAGACACGGCCCAAACUCCUACGGGAGGCAGCAGUAGGGAAUCUUCGGCAAUGGACGAAAGUCUGACCGAGCAACGCCGCGUGAGUGAAAGAAGGUUUUCGGAUCGUAAAAACUCUGUUGGUAGAGAAGAACGUUGGUGAGAGUGGAAAGCUCAUCAAGUGACGGUAACUAACCCAAG